UACGUAGGGUGCGAGCGUUAAUCGGAAUUACUGGGCGUAAAGCGUGCGCAGGCGGUUAUUUAAGUCAGGUGUGAAAGCCCUGGGCUUAACCUAGGAAUUGCGCUUGAGACUGGAUAGCUUGGAGUGCGGCAGAGGGAGGUGGAAUUCCACGUGUAGCAGUGAAAUGCGUAGAGAUGUGGAGGAACACCAAUUGCGAAGGCAGCUGGCUACACAUAUAUUGACACUGAGGCACGAAAGCGUGGGGAUCAAACAGG
rnacentral:rRNA from 1 species